rnacentral:misc_RNA from 1 species
ACACAACAUUGAGAAGUGAAAAAAAAAUCUACAUUUUCCCCUUGAAUUGAAACUAUACAGUUUCUAAGAAAUUCAUAAAGAACUUACAAAAAUGGUUACAACAAAAAAGUGCACUAUUUUUUUUUUUGGGCCAAGAGGGAAGGAAAAAAGAUGAUUAAUUUAGUGAGGGCAGAGAUCAAAUUAAAAGGAAAAGCUUAUGGCAUACGUUUCUCACAAAUCAAAAUCUUCCAGCUUGCAUGUUCACCUUCACCUGUGUCACGAAGAAAAGGCACCCAACCCAUGGCUUUUGCUAUCUCUUGAAGUUCAUCCAUAACAGAUACAGAAUCACGAACAUAAACAAUUCCACCAGGUCUUAGAAUCCUAUCCAUCUCAAGCAUUAUGGUGGAAAUAUUGCAUUUGUCCCUUUUCUGCUCGACAGAGAACAGACCUGCUGCGUGUAAUAGGUCAUAUGUUCUGGGGUAAGUGUCAAAUGGCUCGCACCAGUCAUGCAUCACUCCUAUAAGCCCACGGUCAUAUAUAACAGGCAAGGUAUUGAACCCACUGACAGGAACAACAUUCAUAACCCAGCAAUCGAUCUGAAGAUCAUGUAAUGCUGCUGCAAACCCUCCAAAUCCAGCCCUCAUGUCCAUCACAUUUCGGAAGUUCAUUUGUUUCCAUCGGAAAGCUCUAACAUAACUUUCUAUUAUGUCAUUCCAAUAUUUUGACUCUGCCUUGAAGAUUUCCUUUCUGGAUAUUGAGGCAUCCAUUGUUAUGAUCUGCAGUCUAUCUGGUGGAUAAUGAAGGCGCAUAGGCCAUGUAAUAACAUUGGCCCCAUAACCAUUCUCAGGCAGUAGAUUUAUGCAUGCCCUCAAGCUGAUAUACCAGACAUUGUCUGGAUCAUCAUUAGAGUCACACAGUGGAGGUUGUGCUCCAGCAUCACGAUUAAGGUAGCAGCUGUUGUUUAAUGGCUUCUGCCAUAUGGCAAUUGAUCCUUCCUUCUUUACCAGUUCCCAACAAAUACGACUAGUAAGGUCCUGCAUUUCUGCACACAACAUUACAAACAUUACAAAUAAAGCAAUCAGAAGGGAUAAGAUCCUCGUGAACCUCACCUUUUACACUCCCACCAAGAUAUAAGGAUAACACUUGUAAUACAGAAAGGUGCUAGGAUUAUAAAGAUAUUGCAAUAAAGACAAUGGGACUUCAGAACAGAAUAGCGAAGAAAUAUAACAUGAUUGGAUACCCCUCCAUUGCUCCGGCAGAUUGUCUUCAUGUUUAUAUACAGGUUGCACAGACCACACAAAGUAUCCUCCUGCCCUUAGCAUCCGGUUUGCCUCGAGGAGCAAAAUUCCAUCAUCUCGAAUCCAAUCAAUUCUACAUCUUGAGCAGUGUAUCAAAUCAAAAGCUUGGCUUGGAUACAACAAACGACGAGAAGCAAAUGCUGCUGCCAUGGCGGGAACUCCACGCUCCAGUGCAAAUUGUAUCUGGUUCUCAUGGGCAUCUUUUAGCGCUAUUGAUAGAGUGAUCACAUUGCGCUGUAGCAAAAAGGCACCAAAACUUGCUAUUCCACAACCAAUAUCUAAAGCAACACGGGUGUGUUGGCCAAAUGCAAUAGCAGGAACCAUCUGUGAAAUCUGGUUUAAGUAUUCAUCUACCCCAUGAAUAAACUGUCUUCCACCUCGUGGAAAAAUUAACUUAUCCCCUUUCCUUGCUAUCCAAUUCUGGCCAUUCUUAUCUUUAACCAGACGUAUACGAGGCACAUUACUGAACCACACCUCGUCUCUGCUCUUGGGCCACGAUAUGGAUCUCUUGUACCCUUUAGGCAUUGGCACCAAGCAAUCCAGCCACUUGCCUACUUCAGGACAAUGUCUUUGGAACCUUUCCACACUGCCACUCAGAUUCAGCCUUGUAAUCUCCUCUACAUUGUCCAAACAAGGUAUAUACUCGCUCUUCGUCUCUUCACACACCUUGUACUUCUCAUACCUGACUCUAACCCCACUGUCAUUAUUCUCUUCUUUCUUCUCUUCCUCUCUCCAAUCGCUCAAAUUCCUCAGCUCCUCCAUGGCGCUCGAAUCGAACUCCCCAAUGUCAAACUCCACUGUCAUCGCUCCAGUCUCGUCCACUAUCCCGAUCCUCGGCGCCUCCGUUACCCACGGUGGCGGCUGACGCCGCCGACUUGAAUUUGAGGAUGAUCCCGUUGUUGGGGAUGGCGAAGGUUGUGGUGAAAUAGAUGGUGAUAUGGAGGUGUUGACGCCUCCAACAGCAGAGGUGGAGGCAUAGGAAACGGCGGAUGGAAUGGAAGGCAGGUGGUAGAAGAGGGCGAAAAGAGAGAGGGAGAGAAGCGCAACGGCUGAAAUUUUGACAAAGUAAGGACCUUUAACGAUAUCCACCGCGGCGGUGACUAUCGCGGUGGGUUUCAUGGCUUGCGAUAGGACUGUAAUUUAAGAGGAGAAAACACGGCGACAGUGGCGCCGGCGAGCAAGGAUAAUAAUGGAAGAGACGAGUAAUGGUGGUGGAGGACCGUAGACGGUACGACGAGAAGUGAGUUGGGAGUUCGGAGCGG